GCAACCUUAGCUCAGUUGGUAGAGCGAAUGACUGAAAAUCAUUAGGUCCCCAGUUCAAUUCUGGGAGGCGGCA
rnacentral:tRNA from 1 species